rnacentral:lncRNA from 1 species
UUUACUAUAACUACUUGGAAACUUAGGUUUCCUUAGAACAAUUUAUUUAUUUAUUUAUUUAUUUAUUUAAUUUUUGAGACAGGGGAAAGGGUCUCUCUAUAUUAGUCCCUGGCGUCUUGGACUUACUAUAUAGACCAGGCUGGCCUCACAGAAACUCCACCUGCCUCUGCUUCUCCAGGUCUGGGAUUAAAGAUGUGAGCCACCAUACCCGGCAAGGGCAUAAUUUUCAAAUCUGAUGCUUUCAUUUUACAUUGAGGUUCAAUAAACUGGACAAGUCCGAGCUGCGGGAAGAGGUGGGACAGUGCUUUCAGCUUUGCCUACCACUGUGGUAGGGGGAGUGUUUGCUGUCUUUGAGCUCUACUGUCUUCAAAAAUAGGAAAAAGAACAACAUUUUAUUUGAAACCAUGUCCAAUUUUGUGGUUCUAGAACCACCUGUGUUAACUCAGCAAGGACGUGUCUGGAGGGGUCCUUUUGGUUCAAGAAGGGUGGAGGAAGGCAGUUAGCUACAGAUGAGGCCCAGUGUCUCAUUAUUUUCUUCUGAUGCUUUUUACAUAUUUAGUACUUGCUAUUUUGAGAUGCGUGACCAACCAGCCGGCCAAGGUAGAUGGAGAUUAUACAGCGAGUCCGCUGACAGUGUUUCCCCCAGCCAAGAUCGAAAAGUGUGCAUACGACAAGGCUGGAAAGGGAAUCAGAAGCAUAUCUGAGCUUCUUCUUGAAAUGGAGAGAUCACACUCAGUCUAGAGAUAAGGAAAAAUCUCCACGAAAAACAAAAACAAAACCCCUUUUCAGCGGCCCCUUAGUAGACAGAGGCAGAAUGUGACCUGGGUACUGCAGCUCUUUCCAAAAUGUUACGGGCGACCCUGAUGGAGAGGGAUGCUUCCAAUGUCGCCAUAGGGCUGCUAUCAAGUUUAAAUUAAAUCCCACUUCAACAAAUGUCACUCACUGAAAAUCUUCGAAUAAGCAACAUGGCAAAGCCUUUGCUGAUGGAUUGCAGAUUCGAGUCAAAAUUGAACACAACAAAAUUGCAGGGGAAAACUCGUGUCAGGCUCUGGAGGCUUGACGGCUGUCCUGUAGGGAUGCGGCACGGUCUUCCUCAGAGUGUUUGGAGAACUUAUGGUAGUCCAUAAGGAAAAAUUACUGGUUUCUUUUUAAAUAUUUAUCCUUUCUCUAAUAAUAUUAUACACACAAAAAUCUCAGCAUUGCCCCUCCGAGGAGAGCCCCGGGGUCCAGCGUUCAGCUGACUCUGCGUGGACACAUUGGCUGUGUGCGGAGAAUAAAUAUUUAAAUCUCGGGAUGAGCAAGCAUUAGAAAAAUCCUGGAGAAGCCUUCCUUUUGUCAAUCUACUUAAGCUUGAAUUUCUGCCUUUUAGUUUUCGCCUGUCAUCCUAACCAGUGGCCAUUUUGAAGACAAGGUAUUUUCACCUGCUAAUCUGCCGCAGGGACCCAGGAUGAGAACACCCUGUGGUUGCUUCCUAGUCGGUUCCGUCCGGUGCUGCCGAUAGAUCAUGGGCGUUCCGAUGAUCUUAAGGCCGAGACAGCAUUACCUACCUGGGUAAUUUUAGAGUUUCCCAGCCUCCAUCUCUGCUGACACCGCCGUGCCUAGGGAGGUAAUAAUGAUGAUGAUUUUUUAGCAUCCCUGGGGUUUAAAAUGUCUCCUAGGAGAUGAGGCUGGCCCAGUGGCAGGGGGUAAGCCCAUAGCUCCCCCUCAAGCACUUCGCCGGCAGCAGUUGGAAGCCUGCAUUUGGAUCUCAGUAGGCUAGGAGAUGAGGGUAGAGAGCCCAGAGGGAGGGGUGGUAAAAUGCCUGGGAGCUGGAGAACAGCACAGGGGCCGAGAUGAGGUAAAGGCAUCAUUCUUUUCAGGAGAUGCGGGCAAAGUGGGUGAAAAUGCCAGGGGGAAGGGGAAAAUUAGGAAGAGGUAGGUGGGCUAAGAACGGCAUGCUUUGGAGUAGCUAUUCUGAGCCUGGCCCCAUUUUCUUCUGUCCUGCUAAUAAAAGCUGGUUUUGGCUUCCCAUGGCGUUAGUCUCCACCCCAAGGGGACAGGCUUUCCCAGUCAGUUGGACAGUGUGGGGCAGGUCCCUUCCAAGAGCCCGUGUUGUGUUUGUUGUCCAAAGCCACAUACAUCAUUGUUUAUCAAUUAGCAUUGCGAUUUUAAAAUUGUUUAAUCCCCACCCUUCUCAAAGAUGCCUUAAGUUACUGCUGUGUGGCUAGUGUACUAU